CCUUCCUUGAGGUUUAUCAUAACCUAAUUUGCCUUUGUAAGAAAAAUAUUAGGGGGAAUAGGUAGUCUCAGAACUACCCUAUAAGUAAGUCAGUGGCAUUUAAACCCUAUUGAUCCUGAUCUAUAAUAAGAAACACAUUCAACAUCAUGACACAGUACAAACAGAUAAAUAUAUAAAGAAAGACAUACAUGUACAAGCUUAAUGAAACAAUACUUAACUUCAAUAAAUGGUGACUGAAGGAAUAAAACAAUGAAGAAAGGGUACAAUCACACAAUGAUGUAUUAUGUAGUCAAUAAUUAUAUUUACCUAUAUUGUUUAAUAACAUGCUACAAUGCUCACAACAAAACAAUAUAAUGAAAUAUAGAGAAAUGUUGAAAAACAACAGUGGUAUAUAUAAUAUGACCCCAAUUUUUAAUCCAACACUACCUUGAUAAAUUCAGACUAUUAAUGCAAUUUUUCUUUAGGAUUCAGGACAUUCUUAAAGUGAACAGUCCAAAUUGUAUUUGCUGUCUAGAAAACCAACAGAAGUGUAGCUUAUCAAGGAAAAAGAUGAGAAGCUCCAUAAAAUUAUAAAAAGGAAGCAACAAAUUCCUGAAAAAUUUAGACCAUGUACACAAUCAAUUCAUAUUGUUCAAAGCAUGAGUCCUAAUUAAUUAGAAUAACAGCAGUAACAACUAUUAAGUACCUGCAUUUGGGAAUACUCUUAUUGCCUACCAAAAAGAAAAAUAAAACUACACCAAUUCAUAAUUUAUGCCAUGCAACUAAUGAGAAAUAUUGAGUUACUUUACAAUCCAUCAUUCACCUAUCUGAGCACAUAAUAUUUUUCAGCCCUAUGAAAUACCAAGUUCUUUAAUAGGGCAUGGAGAUCCCAAAGAUGAAUUAGACAGAAAUCUUGCCCUUAAGCAGGUCAAAACCUACUGGGUGAUCCAGGUAGGUAGACACUGACAUUGAAUGUGAUAAGCUCAACACUGAAGUUGUACAUAAAGGCUACGAAGACAGUGCAGCUGUAGGUCUUGGGUAAAUGGGAAAAGUUUUCAGAGAGGUUGAUUCUAGGCUGUCUUAAAAACUGUGAGGAGGUUGCCAAAUAGACAAAGGAGGGAAAGGCAUUCCCAGGAGAGAAUAACAGGUUCAAAAGCUUAGAGAUGGAAGAGGAUGCUUCCAAUCUGGGAAUCCCAGACAUUUUAGUAGAACUAGAAUGCAAGAUACUAGAUCUGUAGAGAAUGGGAAGAGUUGAAGUAAGCAGGGGGAAAAAGUGUCUUAAUGCUAUUCUAAAUAGUUUGGGUUUCAUAGCAGAGAGCCCAGAAAAUAUUUGGGACUGAGUAGUGACAUGAUCUCAUUUGUGUAUCAGAAAGAUUAUUCUAGGAUGAAUUUGGAGGCACUGAGGCUUAUUUUGGAGUUGGACUUAGACCUGCAGACACUUAUCACUGUUAGAUGGGCCCUUCCAAGAGAAUUUGUAAACAGAGAUCUUGCUCUCAGGAAAUUUAACAUUUAAUUCAUAGAACCCAAAAUCACAGCCUACAGAGAAAUGCACUUUCUUAAGGUAAUGUGUUCUGUUUGCCAGCACUUUGACACAAAGAGAAGUGCUGGCUUCAUAGAAAUAAUUAAUCCUCUUUUUCUGCCACUGGGAUAAACAAAGGAAAGAAAGAAAUAGAUGUUAUAAAAAAAUAAAAUCCAAGGCAGAUCAAAGGGGAUGUGGCGGAGGAUUCAGCAACUGCCACCCUUAAGCAAAGAACAGUAAUGAAGAAAUGAGUUUUGGCAGCCUAGCCAAUGGGAUAUGAAAGAAAUUAAUCCCGAAGGGAUGUAAUGACCUGAAAAAAAUGAUGAGCAAAGUCCAGAAGGAUUAGAAGAAAGAAAAAGGCAGCAGACAGGUAAGAGCCAUUUUCUUCUCUGUCUUGUCUAUCUGAAGGAUAUCAGAUAGUCCUCAGCGAUGGGAGCUGUGGAAAAGCAAGCCAAAGAAUUGAUUUGGCAAAGUCAUUUAAAUUUCUUAUUCUUCUUAUUCAUUUUUUCUCGUUAAGGCAAAGAAUGGUACUUUAAUUUACUGUCAUAACACAGGAACUAGCUAUUGAUAAGAUUAACCUUGUUCAAUCAUGAUGAAAUUCAGUAAACUCAGGACACAUUUUUGGAUACUUUGUUUUCCCAGCUAAAGAUAAGAGUUGCUCCUAAGACUCAGACCUUUAGUAUAAUGUACACUGAUGGUUUUUAUUUUUUUCUUUCCAGAAUGGACUUCAGUGCAACAGGGAAUUAAACUGAAAUCAUUAAAUUCUUUCUGCUUAGCACUUUAGAGAAAAUUUCUAUCAGCCUGCCUAAGUGCUCACCAUGGGAAACUGAAACCAGGAAUUUAAUCUCAAAUUUCUGAAGACAUUCAGACUUAUCCAUUGUUCUAUGAAUCAGGAAUAUGUUAACAGAAGUUCUGGUUAUUGAAGAAUCUUCAGAAUGAAAAUCAAAUUAUGAAAUCCCCAGUUGUAAUAUUCCCACCAUGGGUGAAGUCUGCUGUCUGAUUGCUAGAAUUUUGGCCGAUGCCUUCUUGCACCUCUAUGAACCCGACUCCAGCCCCUCCCCUCUAAUUACUGCCCACAGUGAAGAGAGAAUUUCUGCCCACUCCCUGCAAGCCCAGGUUGGAAAUGUUUGAGGAGGCAUUUAUCAUGAAAGCCGUGGCCUUUGCUCCUAAAGCUUCGUCUCACAAGUACAAUAACAAAAACUGCUAAUUAAAAGAGGGAAAACAACCAGGAGUCAAACACAAAGGGGCAUCCCUGCCUCAUCAGCACAGAACAAUCGACCGGCUCCCUUCACUGCCCAUGCGAGGCUCCAUGUGAGGAAGCCUGCUCUGCCCUUCCAGGAAGCAGGUGUGGGAAUAGAAGGAGGCACCACUCAUCUUCUGCAGAAAAGCAAAAUGAAGACAUCAUCAGAGAGCAGCACUCAUUGGAAGUAGCUCCUCGGGUUCCCUUCUAAUGUCAGGUACAGCUCAGGACUAAUUUGAAGACAAGAAACGAUUCCAGUGCCUUGUAAAUUGCGAUCCACAUUGCAACUCCUAGCAGCCACAGUUCAGCAC
rnacentral:lncRNA from 10 species